rnacentral:rRNA from 1 species
AAGCAUAUCAAUAAGCGGAGGAAAAGAAACCAACAGGGAUUGCCUUAGUAACGGCGAGUGAAGCGGCAAAAGCUCAAAUUUGAAAUCUGGCGCCUUCGGUGUCCGAGUUGUAAUUUGAAGAAGGUAACUUUGGAGUUGGCUCUUGUCUAUGUUCCUUGGAACAGGACGUCACAGAGGGUGAGAAUCCCGUGCGAUGAGAUGCCCAAUUCUAUGUAAAGUGCUUUCGAAGAGUCGAGUUGUUUGGGAAUGCAGCUCUAAGUGGGUGGUAAAUUCCAUCUAAAGCUAAAUAUUGGCGAGAGACCGAUAGCGAACAAGUACAGUGAUGGAAAGAUGAAAAGAACUUUGAAAAGAGAGUGAAAAAGUACGUGAAAUUGUUGAAAGGGAAGGGCUUGAGAUCAGACUUGGUAUUUUGCGAUCCUUUCCUUCUUGGUUGGGUUCUCCGCAGCUUACUGGGCCAGCAUCGGUUUGGAUGGUAGGAUAAUGAUUAAGGAAUGUGGCUCUACUUCGGUGGAGUGUUAUAGCCUUGGUUGAUACUGCCUGUCUAGACCGAGGACUGCGUCUUUGACUAGGAUGCUGGCAUAAUGAUCUUAAGCCACCCGUCUUGAAACACGGACCAAGGAGUCUAACGUCUAUGCGAGUGUUUGGGUGUAAAACCCGUACGCGUAAUGAAAGUGAACGUAGGUGAGAGCUCUUAAGAGUGCAUCAUCGACCGAUCCUGAUGUCUUCGGAUGGAUUUGAGUAAGAGCAUAGCUGUUGGGACCCGAAAGAUGGUGAACUAUGCCUGAAUAGGGUGAAGCCAGAGGAAACUCUGGUGGAGGCUCGUAGCGGUUCUGACGUGCAAAUCGAUCGUCGAAUU